rnacentral:lncRNA from 1 species
CGUGGACCAGUAAGUGGAUCUUUCCUCCAUAUAGAUCUAGCAAUUCCUCGAUCUUUUUGGUCAGUGGACAAACCAUGUGAGAAAGCUGAUUCGAAGACUGGGCGUCGGCCAUGGCCGUAUGUUUCUAGGUCCCCCCUCUGGGAGGAGUUCGCUGACAGUCUUGAAAAUCCAGAUCCGUCCCUCUGGCAUUAUUAACGCUAGACAAAGACAACCAUGCCGUGCCGGCGGACUCGAAUGCUGCCUCUGGAUGUGGGCAGCAAGUUGGUGGCGCCGUGCCGGAGAGGCCGACCUACGGCGUCGGGAGGCAUGUCCACGAAGUCAGCUGACAGAGUCAACCCUGAGCCGCAUGGUUGGAUGAAAAGGUAUUUCGGGUAAUUCCAUUGCUUGUGUAAUAACUGUAUAUCUCCAAAAAUGAGUGCAUGUUGAUCUCCUCAGGCAUGACUAGUUCAAUUUUGGGCGACUGCAACCUGACGAUAUGAUUUGGUUAACUGACCCUGAUACUUGGUACUGAUGAUUAAUUGUUAAAUGUGCUUAGACGUCAAAUAUGUCAGUAAUUGUCUACUGCAGCUGAAAAUUGUGUAAAGGAAUGGUUUGCUUAAAAAAGUCUGGUUACAUCUCAGUAGUGUACUACCAGACCGGACGCCAUGUCCUUCUAGGAUAAGUACACUAGAUCGAGCUUACCAAAAAUGUAAUUAGACCGUAACUCAGGCCAAGUUUUUAUUCACUAGGCGGGGCAUAUGACUUCUACAACUUGUAUUCCUGGGAGAUCAGAAUCGGAAUUCGGUAUGGCAACAGCUUUCCUUUAGAUGUUUCCAUCGGCGGUUGAAUCAUUGCAAGUGUGACGACGGGGUAACUGACAGCGGUGUCGCUGGAGCAAGAGUAGAGGUUCAGGUAUGCGUGGAAUCAUAAGUCAUUUCCUUGUACGCGAUUUCCCUGAAAACACCUACUUAACAGCGGCACAUGUGUAGUUCCCGGACACUUCGAACUUGGGGUUGCAGCAAGUGCUUGGAGCACGAAUUUGAUGCUGGAGCAAGAAGGCCAUGGCGUGGACGAGGUGAGCGGAAGUGUUACCACUGUUGUGUUGUCUGUUGAUCUCCGGACGAUUUGUUUGAAAACCAAAACCGGCUGCAUUUCCAUGGAGAGGUGAUUCAGCGGGGGGCCUCAUUCGGAUAAGAUCUGCAAGCAGGAGUUGGACAACAAGAGCGGAGAUGGUUCACUUGAAGGAUUCGGCGAGCAUGACCCAGCCGGUGGCGCGCUGGCCGACUUCCAUGGUGUUGACACUGAUAUGGACAAUGGAUCUCGCGUGAUCUGUGGUGCCGAAGAGGUUGAUUCCAGUGGAGAAGAGGUGAGCAGCAGGUAAGCGAAACGACGGCGUACACAGGCUUGUUUUGCGACGUGAGCGUAUCACCAGAGGAAAGAACUGUGUUUCCACUGCUCCCCUUGUCCAAGAUGGGCACACCAUCUUCAACAGAUUGUUGUAUUGUGCGUGCGGUGUGUUUUAGAUUGCAGAUAAAAAGAAAACCUGAUAGUGUGUUUAUAUGAUGACUAACUCUAGUUUGUCCCACUGGCGGAGUACGCGUACAGUUGCAUCUUUUUGACGGUACAUUAUUAUUUUUUCCUUAGCUCUACCCCAAAUUGUUUUUUUAUUUAGCAUUGUGAUCGGCAGUAAAAAAUAAAUGUUGCAGCGUGUGAUUAAUUUUAUGCGUAGGUGGUGCUUAGAUAGUGAGCAGAGGUAAAAUAGGGGAAAAAAGACUGCCUGUUAUUUGGUUUUGGAUUUAAAAAUUCUACUCGGCCCUGAUUAAAAAAGGUUACGGCAUUUGACGAAACUUUGGUGUGCAGCUAAAAAAACAAAGACUGUCGUGGUGGUUUGUUUUCGAUUUAAAAAUUCUGGUCACUCGUUAAUAUAUGUUGCCGCAUUUGAUUAACUUGCGAGUGGAUAGUGCUUAGAUAAGCAGCAGCGGUGUGUUAGGGGAAAAAGGAUUGCCCUGAGGGCCUGCGGCGUGGUACGGAGACGGCUCAGCGGCUCAGCCUAGCACAGAAAAAAGCUUGAGCCGUGACCCCAACUGUUCGGCCUCUAUCUUAACAGCUUUCAUUGCACUUAAUGCUUCCAUCACUGUAUUUAUUUACUUACCAUACAUCUGCUAUACAGAGAGGAAUACAUCACCCAGCACACAUCCACAUGCUAGCGGACGAUGAAGAUUUCAGGAGCAGCUUAGCCUGAGCUCAGAAACGAAUAUCCCAUGCUAAUUCCACACUUGUGCUUUAAAGUAGCACCAUAUUUUUUCAUAUAAAGAGUCUCUUAUAAUGUCAUUUUCAUAUACUAGUGAAAAUUUUUCAUUAUAGAGUUUGAUGCACACCCACUCAGUUUUCAUAUUGAGCUUUCAUACACUUAUAGCUCUUAGUGCAUUCAUUGCAUGAUAAUCCCUACUCACAUUAAUAUCAAUUAAUGGGCAUCUCCAUAGCCCGUUGGUUAGCCGCGCUGAUGUGAGACUUUCUUACUUUUUUGUCUUCUCUAUAUUUACCCCUAUCAUCGUACUCUAUUCCACCUAUAGUGCUAUAUCCAUGACUUUCGCUCAUUUAUUGCGUGCAGGUUGAAAAAGCUGAAGCGCGUUAAAAAGUAUGAACCAAUUGCUCGACUUGUCAUCGGGGUUGUGCAUGAUAAAUACUUUGUAUUAAGAAGACAGAGCAUGACAAGACUAUGAUUUUGUAGGGAUAACUUUCUUUACCGUUGAUAUUUUGAAAGACACGACUAUUUGUUGGGAUGACUGAGUAUUGAUGUCUUUAUGUCAAAUUAUAGACUGUUGCAUUGAAUUACUCGUGUCUUGACAUUCAUGCCAUGAUUUGAUAUAUGAAGACUAUGUUAGGUAGCAUUCCACAUCAAAAAUUAUCUUUUUUAUCAUUUACCUACUUGAGGACGAGCAGGAAAUAAGCUUGGGGAUGCUGAGACGUCUCCGUCAUAUCUAUAAUUUUUGACUGUUUCAUGCCAAUAUUAUACAACUUUCACAUAUUUUUGGCAACAUUUUAUAUGAUUCGUUGCUAACAUAUUGAUCCAGUGCCCAGUGCCAGUUCCUGUUUGUUGCAUGUUUUUGUUUCGCAGAAUAUCCAUAUCAAACGAAGUCCAAAUGCGACAAAAAUUUACGGAGAAUUAUUUUGGAAUAUAUGUGAUU